GACGAACGCUGGCGGCGUGCUUAACACAUGCAAGUCGAACGGUGAAGCUCCAGCUUGCUGGAGUGGAUCAGUGGCGAACGGGUGAGUAACACGUGAGCAACCUGCCCCUGACUCUGGAAUAAGCGCUGGAAACGGCGUCUAAUACUGGAUACGAGAAGGGUCCGCAUGGGCACUUUCUGGAAAGUUUUUCGGUUGGGGAUGGGCUCGCGGCCUAUCAGCUUGUUGGUGAGGUAAUGGCUCACCAAGGCGACGACGGGUAGCCGGCCUGAGAGGGCGACCGGCCACACUGGGACUGAGACACGGCACAGACUCCUACGGGAGGCAGCAGUGGGGAAUAUUGCACAAUGGGCGAAAGCCUGAUGAAGCGACGCCGCGUGAGGGAUGACGGCCUUCGGGUUGUAAACCUCUUUCAGCAGGGAAGAAGCGAAAGGGACGGUACCUGCAGAAGAAGCACCGGCUAACUACGU
rnacentral:rRNA from 1 species